AAAAAAAAAAAAAAAGGAGUAUAAAAGAAUCAUCUGUUUGUGUAGAGAAUCUGCUGAAAAAGAAACCAGGUGGUGGCAAAAGAACCACGUAAACAGUUAACUCAAACAACACACAGUUGGGUGCAGCUUGGAUCUGCUUAUAGCCAACACAUGGGAACUCUGGGCAAAGCUGUAGCGCACUAGUUAUAGACUCAUCCCAUAGACUUAGAGAUGGAAAACACUUAUUAGGACAUUCCAGUAUGGUGCAGAUGCUCAAGUAUGGUCCUGUUAUGUGGAAAAUUAAUUGAUUCUGACCUCAUGAAUAAAUUUCAUCUUCACAGGUACCAGGAAAACCCAACACGACUCAGAGUCUGAUGAGGUUUUGAAUGCUGGUAAACUCACAUGACAUUAUUUUUGUUAUUUAAGUUUCAAAAGGCAAAAUUCAACCCAGGGACAAGCCUGGCCUGUAUUUUCCCCAACUCAAUGAAAGUGAUUAAUAUUUUAAAAAUAAUUCUAGCUAACCUUGUGGACUUGUGCCCAUCAGGAACAAAAAAACCCUGACCUCACUCCUCUGUGUCUCCCUAAUUCCUUUCUUUUGGACUUCCACUGUGAAUUGCACUGUAAACACUCACUGUCAUUAAACUCUGGUACACAGAGCUGCUUCAGCUGCUGCACAGUCCAGCUCCCAUGGGAGCACGUGGAAAUCCCUGAUACAAAGGGGAUGUGAAAGGACCAACGAUGUGUUCUCAAAUGGAAGUGACUGUCGGUUUUGUUCCUCGUGCUGCCAAAUGCAAGGAAGGCUGGGACAUGCAGCUCUGUGACUGCAGGCCUUGCAAAGAAGGAGCACGUAUGUAUGUAAGGAGAAGGAUAGAUAGGUUUUAUAGCAGUGUUCAUCCCCAGAAUGCAAAGAAUAUAGUGGGAGAUGUUGCAAUACCUUGCUGCUUUCCCACAUAUCAAAUGCUGGGGAUUGCUCCAUUAGUCUCAUAAUUCAUAGGAGCUGUGGGAGUUGUACAGCAUAUCUGUCUGGAAAAGACAUUUUGUGGAGAAAAAGGUAGUGGGUUUUACCAGACAAGCUGAUGCAGAUGGAAAACACCCACCAAGCCCUACAGGACAAAUAUGUAAGAUUUUACUUCUUUCUGAAAACUGUCUCAUUUACUCCUGCAGCCCAUUGUGGUGGGAAGGCUUGUGCCUUAGCACAGCGGUGUUUUCUUACACUUUUCCAUCACGUAAAACCACUCAGCUCUGGGAAAAGGCACAAGAGCACCAGUUUAAUGUUCUGACCAUAGGUACAGUCACUGCAUUACCUGGACCCAUCCCUGCUAGACACUGACCUCAGUGCUGUAGAACUUGCAAAGAAUAGCAAGAGAUCAUAGAAUCAUAGAAUCAUUAAAAGAUAUCUAAGAUUAUCUGAUCCAACCAUCAAAGCAUCCCCACCAUGCCCACCAACCGCUUCCCUCAGUGCCACAUCUUCACAGUUCAUGAAUACAUCCAGAGGCUGUGACUCCAUCACCUCCCUGGACAGCUUGUGCCACUCUAUGACCACUCUUUCUACGAAUAAGUUUUUCCUAAUGUCCAACCUGAACCUUCCCUGGUGCAAUUUAAGGCCAUCACCUCUUGUCCUGUUGCUGCUACCUGGGAGCAGAGGGCAACCCCCACUUCACAACAAUCUCCUUUCAGGUGGUUGUAGAGAGCAAUAAGGUCACACCUGAUCCUCUUCUCCAGACUGAACCAUCCCAGUUCCCUCAGCUGCUCCCCAUCAGACUUCUGCUCCAGACCCUUCCCAGCUCUAUCGCCCUUCCCUGAACACACUCCAGAGCCUCAGUAUCUUUCUUAUAGUGAUCUUCCUUGUAUGAUGAACAAGCUGCUCUAAUGACCGCUUCUGUGCCCUGUUCUCUUCACUAAUAAUAUAGAUCAUGUAUCGCUGUUGCUUAGACAUAGUUGGUGGGGAUGGCACUGGGGAGAGUGUCCCAGCUUCUGCUCAGACCCUCUCAGGGGUCGUGUGCCCACACACCUGGCCUUCCACAAACCCUUCCUGCUGCCUUCGUCCUGUGCUAUGUGUAGUAGUGACAUCUGUGCACCAAUGGUGGUUUAUUGCUCUAGGUAAGUGAAAGAGCAGCAGAAACCACAGCCUUCCCUUGGGUUCUGUUUGUUUGGCAACUCCCAAACCACAGAGCCUGUUUUCAGAGGGAGGACUAGGAAACCCUCAAGAAGAGCUGAAGGUGGGAGGUGGCUGCAGUGGGGGUCCCAGGCAUAGAUGGAAGACCUGGCAGGAGCAGAACCUCCAGGAGCUGCCUGCAGAUGGGGAUGGGCAAGGGGAGAUGAGGUCAGAGAGGUCCUGGCGGGUGGAGCGCAUCCCAGGAGGGAGGUCACGUCCAAGAGAGCAGAUCUCAGUAAGUCAGAUGAAUUAUGUUGCUUAGAGCAGCACAGAUAACAGCUAAGGAGGCUGGGGCUGUCUCUGACUCAGGUUUCCUUAUGCUGAGCAUUUUGCAGAGCACCUUUUAUUGCCUUGUCUACUGCCAAACAAAUGGAUAAAUAACCCCGUGCCUCUCCCCCAGGCCUUCUUAUCAUCAGGGUGUGAGUAAGCCCUGGUGCUUGGAUCCAAACUCACACUCCCAGCCUCCUGGGAUGCCCAUCACGCGAUCCCUUUCAGGUCUGCACACAUCCUCAGGACCUGAGAGUGCCCCUCUAGGCUGCCCCAUGGACUUCAUGGUGAUUUCCAUGGAAGAGCUGUCCUUCAGUGAGUCCUCCCAUAGCCAGGGUAACUCAGUGGGCUCUGAUGAACCCUGCAGUCAGAAAGCCACCUCUCCAAUGACAGGAGAUCCUCAAGUGUAGUAGGGUCCUUCCAAACUUCAGAUGCAAUUAAUGAUUAGAUGUUAAUUCUGUCAGCAAGUGGUGGAGGUGGUGCACCUAUUGACCAGAGGCACUGAGCUGAACAAACCUGCUGCAAAGAACCAAGCACAGAAGGACAUGUUGCUUGCAUUUAACUGUCUGUGAGGAUGAGAGCUGUCUUCAUCCACUUGCAUCCAUCUGGGCUUUGCUGACAGCAUAGCACAUAUCAGAGCACCGUCUGUUAUUCCAGCACAGCAGUCAGCAACAAGACCUCAACCUCCGUGUGCUAGAUAAAGCAUCUUGAGGUUAUGUAGAUGAAUGAUAACAGUCAAGAUUAGACAACCGCAACUCUGUACACACGCUGCUGCUGCUGGCUUGCAGCUCUGCGAGGGUGACCGCCAAGCUCUGUGUGCUCACGGGGCUGCCAAUUCCCCAACCACAGCUCCCCAUGCUAGUGGGACUGCCACUUCUCCAGCCACCUGCUCAAGGCCAAGCAGCAGUGCAUUGCAAGCACACCUCCCCACCUACCCUGCUUGCCUUGCAGAAUCAAGGUGUUCACUAAAGGCCUUGCUGCAGAAACCGUCUUCUGCUUGGAAACUGAAACCUUCCAGUUCUUUCCCAUCAGCUGCCCAUCAGGGCUGCCCAUGGAUGUAUCAGCCACCCCAACAGAGCUGAAGCUCCUACUCCUCUAGACCCAGCAUGAAAUGCCUCUCCUCUUGGGGCAGCACUACCCAUCAGGCACUUCUCCUGGGCAUUACCACUCGUAUUUGAAAGUGCAGGAAGGGCUGGAUAUAACGAGCGUGUUCCUUGCUCCACCAAACUCCAGUGAUUUUAACACAGGUCUUCAGAUUUCCUGGCAAUUUGCCCAUUUGUAGGAGUGUCACACUGCAACAAGUGGUCAUAGAAAACCAAUGGAUACAGAGGAGAGGUGAGAAGCAUGUUCCUCCUGCGCUGCAAGCAAUGAAAUUAAUAAAGCACCUACAAAACACGCUGUUCUUCAGCCGGAGACCAGCCCUGGGCUGUGACGCAGCAGCUGAGUUUGCGUGCUCCCAUCAGGGACACACAGGGCUGCAGCCACGCUUGGGCACACACCUCCCAUCACAUGUCUGGGCCAAGGAGCCAGAAGUCAGGAGCUCCUGACCCAAUGCAAGAAGUGCCAAGCAUUCUCCAUCCCUUCCAAAGGAAACGGUGGAGUCAGCACAAUCCUACCUACACCCGGACUCCACCGAGGCAGCUCAGGAUUGGAAAAUCCCAUUACCACCCGUUGAGACACCGUUAAACAAUUUCCCAGCCCCGCCAUGUGACCGUGCACAGGCUACACGGGAGCCCAGGCUUUAGCAGUGCUUUCACACUUCCAAAAUGUGUCUGCUGGGUCACGUGGAGGCUUUCCAAACCCCUUAAAUCCACCUGACAAAUUCACCUUCCCAACCUAAGUCAGCAGACCAGUUGGGAAGGGAGCACUCAGCACCACCUCCGACCACGUGUGCUCCUCACCUGGGGUUUUUUGGCCUGCUGCAGGCUGGACGGUGAGCGUACAGAACAUACCAUGCAAAUUGCUGUGCAUCUCCGUGCAAGCUUGGCUUGUGGCAGAACUCUUCCCAAAGCAAGUAUUCCAGGCUCGCAUAUAAAUUAAAGCUCAUAAAUCAGUUGAGAAAAAAUCUCCUCGAUGGCAAUGGCCAACUUGUUAGAAGGGAGCUAAAGGCUACAAACGGUUCUCAAUGAAGCCUCGCUAGCUGUCAAGAAUGCACGAGGCAGCGGCGGUGUUUGGAUUGGGAACGCGAGUCGGAUUUUUCUCCCCUCUUUUGAGGACAAUGAAAUGUAGCAGCUUUCCUUCCCCUCCGAGCUGCUCGGAGUGACCCGAGCCGGCAGACAACAGCACAGAUACAAUCUCUGGAAAUCAUGAAGUGAUCGAAGAAUGGCUGAGGAGUUCUGAAUAACUAAAUAAAGUCCUCUGUGUUUUCUUUAGCAAGUAAAGAAAAUACUUUUAGCGUUUUAGUGUGACUUUUGGGGUCAAGGGGGAAUCUCGAGUCCAAAUACAACAAACCCGUGUGGAAAUUGCUGCCAAGAGUCUGAUAGCUGGGCUGGGAGUUUGCCUUGAGGCUCAGAUGUGCGAGUGCAGCCCGCUGGAGGCAGGCUGAGCCUGAGCUCUUGCUCAGAGCAUGGGAAUCUCGGGCACGUCCUCCCUCCUCCAGCAGCGUGCCCCUCUGCAGCUCAGUGCCAGCACCCAGCCAUCCCAACAGCCAGGGCUGCGGGUCAGCACAGCAGCGCUUCCCAGUGCCUGGUGCAGAUGAUAUUCCGUUAGCAACACCUUACAGCAUCGUCCUGCAUUUCUCUUAAAUGCCCUUUUAGGAAAUACGUUAUCACUAUGGGAUGUUACUGGGGUCACAAAGCACAGUGUUCAUGGGUGAGCCGGGGUGCUCAAUAAAGGAAUAGGAAAAGAAAAUUUCUGGUAUCUCAGCUUCCUGAUCUUUGAAGCACUGCAGUAGAUAGAAUUGCCUUCUCUAGCACACCCCCUCGAAGACUUAACUGUUUCUUUUUUUAACCUCACACUGCUAAAACAGUCAAAUCUUCCAAUACCAUAUAUAUUAUAAAGUAGAAAUGUAAUUCUGGCUUCAAAUGUACAUUCAAAAAAUCUUCAGGUUGUUUUUUUUUUUUUUUUUAGGUUUGCCUAGAGAAUAAUUGAAUACUUGUGUUAGAACAUCACCCCCAGUGCCAAUUUCACAUACCCCAUCUGUCAUCAUUGGCACAGGUGGAAGGACUCUCCUUCUGCUCUGAUGCCACGAAGAGAGGAUCCACGCUGCAGAAGCACACCCCCUUGGUUUCUUAUUCCAGCAUAGGAUUGCUGUAGCCAUGAUGGGCAAAAGAGAUAAAGGAUAUAGGAGAGGGAUAAUGUCUUUUGCUGGACCAAUAUAGCCCUCCCAAAAAGCAGACUAACUUUUAGACACACAAGGUCUUCUUCUGCGAGCUUUUUGGGGAUCGUAACAGCCUAAUGAAAAAUAUCUCCUCUCUCUUCAAAAUUCUCUUAUUCACAGCAUUCAGCCAUGUGAAAUCCACGUUACAAGAAACAUCAUAUAUGUUUUCUCUUAUUUUCUUCUGUUACAUUCCUGUUUGUGCAAAUGAGAUGCACCUAGGGUUCUCGCAGCCUUGCCUACCUCAUACAAAGAUGCAUUGCACAGCUUCCUCACCAAGCCAUCUGCUCUCAGAGAGGAGAAAGCCAACAUCUGACAUACCACAUACCAUCAAGCAGCCUCAAAAGGACAGUAGUGGGCAAAUGAUACCCUGCAUCUGCUCAGCUCGCAUUCAUUUCCAGCCACCUAAGGUUUGGCUGCAACAGCUCUUCUAAACCCAAAUACAUAUGUUGGCUUAGAGACACCAUAGUAAAGUAGCCUAACAAACCAAAGCAAUUGGUUUUAAUAAGAAUCUUGGCUUGUUUUGACAAUGCACUGAAUCUUCAUGUUGGCACCGCGAAUGUUUUUUUAGGAAAAUGUAUGCAUCUUUGCAGCUCUCAGCAACUAAAUCCUCUCUGCACUUCAUGGAAAGGGUUUCCUGGCUAUCCGCUUUCCGACGUAUUCCAAGUUCCUUGCAGCUGAUUGUUGUCUAGGCUGAAAUACUUUCAUACGAAGCUCAGCUAUUUGCCCCCGUUGCGUGCUGUGUGCCGAUGGUGUGCGGGUCUCACGCAGUGCCCUUCAUCCUCCCGCACCUACAGAAGGGGCCGGGGCUGCGGGGACGUUUCAGUGCUUCCUGAAGUGCGUUGUGCAGAUGUGUUUGGAAUAGCAACGGAAGCGGCUGUCUCCCUCUACCCAGCCUUAUUACAGGCAGUAGCAAUGCUCCCAGAGUUCAAAGGCAUUUCAUGCUCACUGAGCGUUUUUCAGCAAGAAAUCUGAGAUUAAAUAAACUCCAAUCCUCUCUGAGGAGAAAGCAGAAGAUGGAGGGAGAGGCGCUGACUCUCGCUGCGCAGCAUGCAUCUUGGUGUACCUUGGAAAACACCCAGGCGAGGUGCUCCUCAAGCACACAUCUGGCCAGGACAUUUCACUGCUGGGGCCAGGGCUGUGCCUGCUGCUUUUGAAUGGGCUCGUGCCAAGGAUGCCAACCCACUCACAACCCGAACGGCACCCAGGAUGUUCCCCAGCCUGAGUCCUACCACCACCGUGCUGGCUCCUGAGAGGCCAGGUGAGGUUACGUUGGAUUUACAGCCUUUCUCCUGUUUUCUGCUGUAAAAGGUGGUAAGCUAGAUUGUCACCAACAGAAAUAUUUAGCUUUCAGUGAGAGUAGGCACGUGACUCCUUCUCAAGUGCUGACCUGCUCCUUAGCAGCAGCCUACAUCCUGCUCUUGUGCUAAGGAAUCACGUGCCCAGGGCAAAUUUCUGGCCACGGACACACAGGUGUUGCUCAGCCAUACUCAGCGGGCACAAGGAAUUGGGUUGUUUAAUCUUACUCCUCUCCAUAGUGACACUGGCUCUGUGGGAAAAAGAAAAUACUUGAGUCAUAGAAGUGACUGAAGUGCCAUUCCCAGCAACGCGGAUGUUUACCCAGGCUCAGCUGGUCCAGUUCUGCCCUUAGCAGGCUGUAAGGUUUACUCCUUGCACCCCCUGUUCCCCCAGUGAGUACCAUAGCUGAGGGUGGGCAUGGACUCCAUGCAAAGCUGGGAACAUUUCAUCUCUGUGCAUCUGCCAGACUAGGGGCAAGGUGUGAGCACAUUCCCCACAGCUCAGGGAAGUCCUGUGCUCAGCUUCUGGGGCUGGGCUGGCUUCUCCAGACUCAUAAAGGUGUUGAUGCUCUUACAGACUGUGCAGAUGUUGUCAAAGAGUACAGGGCAUGGACAUCCACACCCUCAGCAUGCUUGGCUGCUUCACUCCCAUGAGCUUCACCGAGACAAAGACAUUUAAUACCACUGAGGAUCUGAGCCCAGUGUGGUUUGGAAAAUCCCAUUAGAUACCAUUCCUCAUCUUCAGGUGACUAAACACUUCAGAAAUCCAGUCCCAAAUGCCCUUGGAGACUCAACAAUCAACAUGUCAGUCUUUUCUGGACUGCCCUGUUAAAGAUCACUACUACAGUGCUGGAAAAACCACCCAGGUUAGACCUGACCCCAGAAAGGCCAUCAAGCCCCUAAGCUAGGUACGAUGCAGAGGUAAUUAGUGCAUACUCUGCUGCAGACAAUACACUGUGAGCCCAGGAUAGAUGUAAAAGCCUGAGAGGCAGACAUGGAAGAGUGUUAUGUUCUCUGUCUGAGAUCCGAAUCCCAGUGAGGGUGGAAAUAGCAAUGUAGGACAGCUGUGAGUAUGCUUAGUAUUAAUAUCAAAUAUAAUGGUAAUUCAAAACAGAAUCUUUUGGUACAGAUCUGAACUGCACAAGCCAAGUUAUGAAAUGAUAUUAGCAUCUGGAUCUGAGAAGCAGCUGAGACUAAGUUGGCCAGCAUUUGCCAUAUGUCUCAUCUGCAGAGAAUAUUUAAAUAAGUAAACACAAUGAGUUAAUAUAAAUGAAAUAACUUUGCAAGAUAAGCACCUUUUUGUGCUAGUGGAAUGGCAGAUUGUCAGAACGACCACGUUCAAUGGAAAUUCUGAAAGGGGAAAAUUCAGAUGGCACACUACUGGCUUUUCAACUGGCUAGAUAGCAUAGCCCAGAAUGGUGAACAUUUACAAUGAUUCUUAUCUGCUGGCAGGUGAGAGAAUCCCACUGCUGUUGCCAAAGCCUUAACUCAUCAAAAAAUUAGUGGUUCUUUCUUGGAAACGUGAGCUAAAACCUUUCACAGAUCUUCUAGCUACAUCUCUGUGUUGGGAAAAGGGGCUAUAAUUUUAAGAGCAUCAAAGGUAUAGAAAGCCGUGCUGCUUUCCAGUAAUUCCCUGACAACACCUAGAGGGUGAAACAAACCUGCUGGUGGUCUGAUCUGAAGGGGAAAAAAAAAAUCGUAAAUGCUGAUUCUGGGAAAUAAAUUAUUCCCUAAAAACAAGCCAGACAGAUCCAGUGCCUUCAUUUCAUUUUGACUUGUGCAACCCUCUGAAUGUCUCCAGCGAGGAAUUAACCUAGAGAGGAUUUCAGUAUUUGGCCCAGGAGAAACUCUUAAGGGACUACCACAGUUCAGGCUUUUUCUUAAGAAGUCUCUCCCCUUUGAACAGCAGAUCAAGGCUCGAGCACCACGUCAAUGGCAUCCAGUUGCUUGGCCAUGCACAGGGCUCCUAAACACGUCCAGCCUCCCAGGCAGUACACUGUGAUGCUGAGUCACAUUCCUUUAUUGAUGAAGAAGAGAGAAAACUAUUAAUUGCAUACCAAGGACAUUUUCUACAAAGGAAAUUGGUAAGCUCAGCACCUCCUUAGAAGACGUCAGUGGUAUCGUUCUAAUAGGCCCUGGCAAUUCCGCGUGCCAUCAGUCCAUCAGCCCCAGCUUUUUUCACUUUGAUUGGUACAAAAUGUUUCUGAAAACCGACACUGCUAAUAACAAUAGGUGCCCAAAGUGAUCGCUUGCAGUUAGUUUGAGGAAAGUUCAAAGACUGAGUUUAUUUUGGCUCUCCAAACCAGAGCAUGUAACAUUCUUUUAAUUUAGAACAGGACCUUGCUUCAGCUCUCCUUGGAUGGAUACAAACAGGUCCUAAGGAUGCAUGAGCUGAGUGGCCCAGUCUGUUUUUGUUCGCUCCAUUUUUGCAUGGGAUACCAACAAACUGGCUGUUCUGAAGAAUCAAAUGGCAUGCAUUCAGGUUUCAGGGGCUUGGGGUUAGUUCAAGCAGGUGUAAAAUCCCCGCAAGGCAUAAGGGGGAUCCACAAAAGCAAAUCAUACCUGAACAGUCAAUAUAACCUUUUCCUUGCUUCUUCCAUACAGUCUGUGAACAAAGUUAAAUUUUAUAUAGGCUGAUGAUGCCUACUGGUUGUGAUUCUUAGUGGGUAAGAGCUUGAGGAUUCAGUGUGUCAUUCACUUCGCCACAUAUUCCAAGUUCUCCUUGCUGCUGUGCAAUUACAUUCAGGUUCCAAACCCACAGCAACUGACCUCAAGGGUCCUUUGUGCCUCUGCCACCUACCUGAAGAGACGAAGCACGCUGAGUGGUAAUUUUUUUUAGUGAUAUGGGAAAGUAUAAAACACAUUCUCGUGCAUGAAAGUGAAGAGUGAAGCGGCUUGAACCAACAAGAACGAGCAAUCAGCCCAAGAGCACAAACACACAGAAAUAUGAUGGGUAUGAAAUCAUUCAGAGCCAAUCAGUAAGCUCCCAACUUCUAAAGCAAUUUCAUAAUUGAGUAAUGGGACACAGCAGGGUCUGAACUAUUGUGUAUUAUAAUCUGAAUGGAAUGCUGUGAGAAGGCUCGAGCAAUCUGAUCGCACCGAGCCCUUGCUCACCAGAAAUGCCUUUGACAUAUUUCCUUAAAGCACAGCAACGAGAGUGAAGUAACUGCUUGUUAAUGACACCCCGAUGGGUUGUCUGCAGCGCUGAAACUGAGAUAGCAGAGAUUGGAAAGCCUGUGCCUCUCCUUGGCUGGAGUUAACACACCAGCCCCCACAGACUGCCCACCCACUUCAACCUUAAUCGCUGGCGUGCCUGUACAAUCACCAGUUUCACUUCACUACAUAUUUCCUCCCCCAGAGCUUCGCUUAUAAAGCAGGAGGCACUAAUAAUCUACGAUGAUCCCACGCCAGCCUCCUGUCAUGGCUUAGUGCUCUGUGGCUGGAACACACUGCUGAGCCGUGGCUAUCUGCACAGCCUCACAGGCAGGCUUCAUUCCCCUUCCAUUUUCCAGACCUUCCUUGGAUGUGGAUGCCUUAACUCCACCAAAAAAAUUCUCAGCCCUCUCUGUAUUUAAGGACAUCACCCUCCACUUGCAGGCAAGCUCAGCAGGAGCCAAAAGCCUGGAUCUGGAAGUGCUUGAUAGCAAGGCAGGAGGGAUGGUUUGAGAUCUGAACUCCAGGAUGUGCUGCAGGACCCUGGUCUGCUGGGGCACAAAAGCUGACACAUCUUCCAUGCUCAGUAUAGGUGUGGGUAGAUAUCCCCCAUUACUUGAGGGAGAGAAUGGGAAGGGCAGAAGUGCAAAAACUCAUAAAUUGAGAUAAAGACAGUUUGAUAAAGGAAGCGAAAGCUGCAUGCACAAGCAAAGCAAAGCCAGGAAUUUAUUCCUUCCCUCCUAUCAACAGACAGGUGUUCAGCCACUACCAUCACAUGUCAUGGGGACUUGGAAAACAAACACACUCUGACCAUCCCCUCUUCCUCCUUCUUUCCAUGAACUGAGCACAUCUCACACUAUGGGAUAUCCCUCUGGUCAGCAGAGCUCAGCUGUCCUGAUUGCGUCGUUUCCCCCCCCCCCCCCCAGCUCCUUGUGCACCCCAGCCUGCUUGGUACACAAGCACUGCUCAGCAACAGCUAAAACAGAGUGUUAUCUACACUGUUUUGGUCAAAUUUGGACAACUAUAUCAGCAAACCCACUACAACAGAGCCCUGACUGACUCAGGCUGGAUGAGUGCAACCUGGAGAUCUGCUCUCAACUCCCCUAGCUGCUGCUCUCAGAAGGGACUACUCUCAUUUACUGUCUGGAAGGGGAAUGAUGCCACAGUGCCACUGAGCUCACAGGGACCAUCUUCCCUUCAUGGUAUCUCUGUGACAUUAACCUUGACGAGGUUAGCUGAAUCGGCUGUGUUCCACGUGUAGUUACAGCCUCCUUGCAAGAGCUGCAAAGUGUCACUGCAGUUAGGUUGUGGCUGGCAAGCAGUCUGACAUAUUCCACCAGUCAAGGUCCCCUUGGAAAGGUCCGUAAGAAUGAGGGAGAUUUAGAAAGUGCCAAAGGGCUCCUGAAUAACAAGAGAUAGGGACAGCUGGAGGAGUCAUGCUUGCAGGGCCAGACAUUCCAAGGGAUGGUGCCUAAAGAUACAGCCUCCAUCUCACCAGUCAUAAAAGGUUUCCAGUCCUCAAAACAGCAAGGUGAGACAGCCUACCAGGAAAAUAAGAAUUAGUGAGCUGAAAAGUGACCAAAAAUGGAAUUGCAAGACAAUGCCACAGCUCUCUAGGGUGGUCUGGAUGGCUCAGGAGCUCCAUUCCCCACAAUUCCCAGCAAGGCCCUUUCACUGGCAUGGGUGGGAGCUGCGGGCCAGGUCCACUCACACGUCUGAGUGCUCACUUUCUUCUGACUGCUCCAUGGGUUUGGAGUCAACAGUAAAACCAGUUGGUACAAUUAAAGCUGGGAAGAGCAGGACUGGUGUAGAAGCAUGGAAAGAAAGCGGUGACUGUGCUUAGAAACUGGAAAAGUGCUUUAAAAAGAAGUAUCCCACAUAAUUUAAGUCCUGUACAUAUAACGCUGUCCUGUCUCCUCUGCCCCAGAGGAUGAUUUCACAAAACCUUUUGAACUCUGUAACCUGUACAACAAUUCUGAGUUUAUGUGGAUGCUGCCUGAAGCUCACUUGUGCCUGUUACAGGAGGACGCUGGCAAUUAAUUGAUUUGUUUUUCAAACUGACCAAUUCUGAGCCCAAUAUUGAAGCACAAUGGCUACCUGCACCUGGGUGCAAGUGUGGGAGAAACCUGAUCCUGAGAAGACGACACUACAUGGGCCACCUUGGGCUCCCUCUGACUUUAGUCAUGCCCAUGUGAGCUGUAUGCAGGCAUGCAAGGCAGUCUGGGUUUGGACUAUCAAACACUCACAACAAACAACUCACUAAUAAGCUGCAGACCAAGAUGUUCUUUUUUCAGAGACUAUUCAAUAAAUGUUUCCAAAUAAGAAGUUUCUAUGGGAAAAACCUAGCCUUUUCCUACAGACAGCUCACAUUCCGGAAAAAAGGCAACAUUGCUCACAUGAAUUAUUCAUCACAAAUUACUCACCCAGUUCUUGCAGCCAGUGGUGCUUUUCCUCUACCUGGAGCUGUAGAAAAGCCAAGUUGUGUCCCUUCAGAGAGAGGGGAAGGGUCAUCUCAACCAACCGUGAGACAUCUGGCCAACAUAAGUGGCUCUUCGCACCUCCUAUGACAGACACAGUUUGCUGUGGGAUCUGUCUGCCAUCAGGAUGUUGGGCGUCCCCCUCCCUCAUCCAGCCAGGCACACCUGGGUAAGCAGUGCUUACUUGGGUGAGGAGGCAGCUUCCGCGCUCAGCUAAGCUGAGUUGGACAGCGUGGUGGAGAUGAGGGUAACGUGAGAGCUAUGGCAGGAGGAGGCAUGGUUCUCACAUUUGCAGUGCACUGCCAAGUGAAAGAAGGGUUCACUAUGAGACAACCUGUGGCUGGGAAAGGGACUAGCUCCACUCUUGGCUGCUUGUCAAAGCUAGCUAUUUUGCAAUAUUAAUAAAACCAGUGAGUCCAUCUUCUGCAAGACAAGUUCUAAUUUCUCCAGCAAAUUCAGCAGCAGACAGUCAUGCCAAGACAGGCGGUCGGUGCAGCUUCUUCGGAGCUUUGAAUCUGCAGGAGAACAUACAGGUACAACCAAAAUAAACAAGAAAAGUAAAACUCACAGCACAGCCUGUGUGGAGGCACGCAGGGAGGAACUAGAGGCAUUGCACAAGUGCGUGCUCAAAUACCUCACCAGCAUCGCAUGCUCAGGACAGCCACAGAGCAGCCACAGGCUAGAGCUGCAUAGACGCAGAGAUGAAGGUGUCUUUGGGGCUCACGAUGGGAUUUUCCUUGUGGCUUCUUCUGUGAAUGUCCCUUCUGCAGCAGAACACAAGAUAACGGGACUGAGCCGCUGCCUCUGGAAAGGCUUCUGGGGAGGCACAGGGUGCUUCUGAAGCCACAGCAGCGUUAAAUGAUGUGUUUGCAUGUACGUGUGUUUGUACAGACACACCAUAUUUUCCAUGUCUACAACACUGCUGUGUAUCAGAAGUCCCUUUUGCACAGAAGUGGUUUGUCUGCUCAGUACUAACCUUCAAGAAGCCAUAUACUGUGUUCCCAAUACAUUGUUGUAGAAAGAAAAUCAGAAACAGCAAGUAGCAGCAAAUCAGCAAACCAGGGGACGAAGCACCUGAAGUUCCAGAUCAGUGAAACUUCACUGCAGACCAGAGCAACGCUUGGGAGGGUUUUCCUCUUCAAAACGCAGCUCAUCCACAGGUGGUAUCUGCCACACUUGGUAGAAUGCCAUUGUUCAUCAUCAACACCAAAGUCAUAAGAGAAAACAAAUACAGCCUUCACAGGGAACUCCGCAAGGUCCCAGCGCUGUGAUGGCAGCAGCCAGGCUGCUCACUGGCAUAUAACAAUGUCCAUCUCCCAGUCCAAAUUUGCCAAGCUUCUGUGUGCCAUCAAGUGAGGCAUCCCAGAGCUUCAUUGCAAAUGCACACCACCUUCCUUGGGGUCAAAGCAUUAACCUUCAUUAGGGUUUUACAAUAAAUACGGCUUGUAUAAAUUCAGAGUUAUGUCCUUCUUUCUUUAUACAUCCAGAAGUCUUGUCUGCUCCCAUAAAGCUAUCACCCAUGACUUCCAAUUCCCAAGACACAGCCAUUCAUCAUGUAAUAGCCCCGAUGCAUGCCAUUCGAGGUGUCAGGCAUUAUUCUGCAUCUCUUGCCACACUUUUCAGUGCAGCCAAGGUGAGGUUUUAGAGCAUCUCCUCAGGCUGCACUGCACGGAGCUCUGCACCUGAGACAAAGCAGCACAUCAUCACAUCUUCAAAAGCAGGGCACACAUUUCUCUAACAGACAGCAUGUUAAGUGGAUAUUAUUCUUCAGCACUGCGAGUGCAUACUGCAACUAGUUUAAAAGGAAUUACUGGCAGUGAGGCAACCCUGGACUUGAGCAUUUUUGUUUCGUCUUUCUCUGAACCUGACAACAGAACAAUGCAGACUUUCAGACUUACCAGACUGCUGAGGUCCGUGUGCCACGGGUGUACACGAAAGCCAAUUUGAAGAGAUUAAGUGGCAAUUUGAACCAGCAGUUCCUCAGAAGUGAUGUUCUCCCUUGGCAGAGGUCCCUCCAGCAGAAGACGUGAGCGUGCGUUCCAGUACAUGCAUUCCAGUGAACGACGCUUCUUGCCAUCUUCCUCCUCCUCCAGCGUCUUUCAUCUGCUUGAAAUUUAGAGGGUGAUUUAGCAGACCCAAAUUUGGCUCUUAAUGAAGGCAAUCUGACUUGUCAAUCUCUCCUGUGGCUGUUGCAAGAAUCCUUGAUAAUAACUUGGGUGGGAUCCACCCUCAGAAGGCAGUGCCUAACACUAGGCCAUCUGGACACCCACCAUGUGCCAAACACCAUCGUUCACAUUUAGUCCAGCUUCCUGCUCAAGUCAAAUGGUAUUUUGAUGAGUGAC
rnacentral:lncRNA from 1 species